GACGAACGCUGGCGGCGCGCUUAACACAUGCAAGUCGAACGGAAAGGCCUGCUUUCCCUUGUGGAUUGCGGGUACUCGAGUGGCGAACGGGUGAGUAACACGUGAGUGAUCUGCCCCCAACUUGGGUAUAAGCCUGGGAAACUGGGUCUAAUUCCCGAUAGGACUGCAGGGUGGUGCCUGUGGUGGAAAACGAUUUUCUAGUGGUUGGGGAUGAGCUCGCGGCCUAUCAGCUUGUUGGUGGGGUAAUGGCCUACCAAGGCGGCGACGGGUAGCCGGCCUGGGAGGGUGGACGGCCACAUUGGGACUGGGAUACGGCCCAGACUCCUACGGGAGGCAGCAGUGGGGAAGAUUGCACAAUGGGCGGAAGCCUGAUGCAGCGACGCCGCGUGGGGGAUGACGGCCUUCGGGUUGUAAACUCCUUUCGACCGCGAGGAAGCCACCUGGUUGGAAGGGUGGUGACGGUAGUGGUAGAAGAAGCACCGGCUAACUACGUG
rnacentral:rRNA from 1 species